ACAAUACCGCAUACGUUUCGCGAGAAACAAAGCUUCGCAAGAGGCGCCACAAGAGGAGCCCGCGCCCGAUUAGCUAGUUGGUGGGGUAAGAGCUUACCAAGGCAAUGAUCGGUAGCUGGUCUGAGAGGACGAUCAGCCACACUGGGAUUGAGAACGGCCCAGACUCCUACGGGGGGCAGCAGUGAGGAAUAUUCCGCAAUGGACGCAAGUCUGACGGAGCAACGCCGCGUGCAGGACGAAGGUCUACGGAUCGUAAACUGCUUUUACCAGGGAAGAGAAUGGACGGUACCUGGAGAAUAAGCCCCGGCUAACUACGUGCCAGCAGCCGCGGUAAUACGUAGGGGGCGAGCGUUAUCCGGAUUUAUUGGGCGUAAAGCGCACGCAGGCGGUCCAGCAAGUGUGGGGUGAAAGCUCCUGGCUUAACCAGGAGAGGACUCAACAAACGGCCGGACUUGAGAGCGAGAGAGGGAUACGGAAUUCCAGGUGGAGCAGUGACAUGCGUAGAGAUCUGGAGGAACACCAAAGGCGAAGGCAGUGUCCUGGCUCGUUUCUGACGCUCAGGUGCGAAAGCUAGGGGAGCGAACG
rnacentral:rRNA from 1 species